rnacentral:lncRNA from 1 species
AUGAAGGCCUGCCUGGGAGCUCGGGUCCUGCUGCUGCCGCCCAGGAGGAGAACUUGUGUAAGGGGAAGCUUGGGGCCACCCUGGGGAGGAGGCGGGCCCAGAGAAUGUGGGUGGGCCAUUGAGGCUGGGGAUGGGCGGGAGAGGACUCUGGGCCUGGGUGUGAGACAGCAUCUGAUACCAUGUGGCCUUGGAACAUCACUGACCCUCUCUGGGCUCCUGCCAUGGAAGAUCUCAAGGGAUCUUGGCAAGAGAUGGGACCACCUUGUUUUGUCCCCACCAGAUGCCAUCAUGAAAGACAUAGAGCCUGAAGACAGACAGCUGGACAGCCAGGCUGUGGUCUCUGAAGACCCUCAAGAUGGGACCUAUGCCCAAGUCAACUGCUUGGUCUCUGAGGACCCUGAAGAUGUGACCUAUGCCCAGCUCAACUGCUUGACCCUCAGGCGGGAGACCAGCGGACCCCCAUCCUCCCAAGCAGAGGACCCUGCAGCAGAGCCUAGUGUGUAUGCGUCACUGGCCAUCCACUAACCCAGGCAGGUCCCUCACGCCAUACUCCAGGGGUCUGGAAGGCAGAGGAGCUGCCCACAGUGAGUGCUACCUGACCCCAGCCAGCCUGAAGGUGGGACAAGGAUGACUACUGGGACCUUCUGGAAAUUGUUCUAGGAAUUCCCAUCAUUACACAGCCCAUCUUACAGUUCCUGUAAGGGACCCUGCCCACUGCAAGGAUUCCACCUCAAGUGCCAACCCUGGGUAUGGGGGCAGGGCAGGACCUACCAACCAGCACUAGGAUGCAAGGACUCAGGAACACCCCCAAAGCCACAAGACUGACUCAUGGACAGCAGCUGCAGCCCAGGAGUUGCUCAAGGCCAAGGGCUUCUCAUUUCCUGAGACCAAGGCCUUUCUUCUCCUUCCAGAAGUAGAGAAAGGGAAGCCCAUCUCCCUCCUGGCCAGAUGCAGGGGGAGGGAAACAGGGCACCUUCAAUGUCCCCUUCCCAUAGGCCACUCACUAGGACUUACCCAUUUCCAAACCACACCAGAAUGAGUUAAGCCAGCCAAUCUUCUCCAAGGCUCCCUACCAAGAACCAACUACACUAGUUCAUUUCCACCAGUGACCCAGGUUCAGCUCUGCCCUCCCACCCAACAUUAACCCAUGACCUCCCCUGCUACUUCCUGUUUGGAAAGGACUCCACUGGACUCCAAUGCAAAUAGCUGGCUUGUCACCAGUCUCCCCACCGAAGUGGGGUCUAUGCCUCCUGCCCCAACCAGGACUGCCAGCUGGCAGGCUCCCCAGGCCCCUCUAAACAAGAGGGGGUGCUCCAAGUGUCAACUUGCUGGUUCAAGGAAGCCUGGUGAGGGACCCAGCCUGGGCUUUUCCUAACACAGAAGCCUGUGUGUUCAGAGAAGGAGGAGAGACAGACACCAAUAAACACCAGUUCCAAGGGUUGAUUCUGUUUUAUUUUCUGACUAGAAAACCAGGCAAUCCG